rnacentral:lncRNA from 1 species
UUGUGAAAGAACAUGCCAUUUUACAGAUAAGAAAACUGAAGCUUAAACAAGUUGGGUUAAAAUAUGUCGAGGAAUCCAGUAUGUAUUCAAACUGAAACAGAGAAGACCUCCAAGGAAAACUUGGAAGUUGGGUACUAAAGGAUGAAGUUCAGAAAGAUCUUGGAAACUAGGUAUCUCUCUGUAUUUCAAAGACAAGAUUUAAUCCUCUCCUGCCCUCAUCUCGAUUCUGAAUUCAAAACUAUGGAAAAGUAAUUAUACUUUCAUUUUCACUGAAAGAGUGAAAUUUUCAAUAUUAC